GGUUAAGCGACUAAGCGUACACGGUGGAUGCCCUGGCAGUCAGAGGCGAUGAAGGACGUGCUAAUCUGCGAUAAGCGUCGGUAAGGUGAUAUGAACCGUUAUAACCGGCGAUUUCCGAAUGGGGAAACCCAGUGUGUUUCGACACACUAUCAUUAACUGAAUCCAUAGGUUAAUGAGGCGAACCGGGGGAACUGAAACAUCUAAGUACCCCGAGGAAAAGAAAUCAACCGAGAUUCCCCCAGUAGCGGCGAGCGAACGGGGAGCAGCCCAGAGCCUGAAUCAGUGUGUGUGUUAGUGGAAGCGUCUGGAAAGGCGCGCGAUACAGGGUGACAGCCCCGUACACAAAAAUGCACAUGCUGUGAGCUCGAUGAGUAGGGCGGGACACGUGGUAUCCUGUCUGAAUAUGGGGGGACCAUCCUCCAAGGCUAAAUACUCCUGACUGACCGAUAGUGAACCAGUACCGUGAGGGAAAGGCGAAAAGAACCCCGGCGAGGGGAGUGAAAAAGAACCUGAAACCGUGUACGUACAAGCAGUGGGAGCACGCUUAGGCGUGUGACUGCGUACCUUUUGUAUAAUGGGUCAGCGACUUAUAUUCUGUAGCAAGGUUAACCGAAUAGGGGAGCCGAAGGGAAACCGAGUCUUAACUGGGCGUUAAGUUGCAGGGUAUAGACCCGAAACCCGGUGAUCUAGCCAUGGGCAGGUUGAAGGUUGGGUAACACUAACUGGAGGACCGAACCGACUAAUGUUGAAAAAUUAGCGGAUGACUUGUGGCUGGGGGUGAAAGGCCAAUCAAACCGGGAGAUAGCUGGUUCUCCCCGAAAGCUAUUUAGGUAGCGCCUCGUGAAUUCAUCUCCGGGGGUAGAGCACUGUUUCGGCAAGGGGGUCAUCCCGACUUACCAACCCGAUGCAAACUGCGAA
rnacentral:rRNA from 1 species